AUACCUUUCUCGACCUUUCAACUUAGGUUAUGUGUAGUAUUUGUUCUUAUCAGUUUAAUAUAUGAUAUGUGAGUCAUCGACUCACACGAUAUAAACUCUGUUUUUCGAGGGGGAUGGUCCAUCAUGGUAGCUUGACUCACACGAUAUUAACUCUAUUUUUUAGGGGGAAGGCCCACCAAGUAGCUUGCUAUUGGGGCGUUCAUGGCACUCAAA
rnacentral:snRNA from 1 species